rnacentral:rRNA from 1 species
UAGUUCCUUGAACCGCAUGGUUCAAGGAUGAAAGACGGUUUCGGCUGUCACUUACAGAUGGACCCGCGGCGCAUUAGCUAGUUGGUGGGGUAAUGGCUCACCAAGGCGACGAUGCGUAGCCGACCUGAGAGGGUGAUCGGCCACACUGGGACUGAGACACGGCCCAGACUCCUACGGGAGGCAGCAGUAGGGAAUCUUCCGCAAUGGACGAAAGUCUGACGGAGCAACGCCGCGUGAGUGAUGAAGGUUUUCGGAUCGUAAAGCUCUGUUGUUAGGGAAGAACAAGUGCAAGAGUAACUGCUCGCACCUUGACGGUACCUAACCAGAAAGCCACGGCUAACUACGUGCCAGCAGCCGCGGUAAUACGUAGGUGGCAAGCGUUGUCCGGAAUUAUUGGGCGUAAAGGGCUCGCAGGCGGUUUCUUAAGUCUGAUGUGAAAGCCCCCGGCUCAACCGGGGAGGGUCAUUGGAAACUGGGAAACUUGAGUGCAGAAGAGGAGAGUGGAAUUCCACGUGUAGCGGUGAAAUGCGUAGAGAUGUGGAGGAACACCAGUGGCGAAGGCGACUCUCUGGUCUGUAACUGACGCUGAGGAGCGAAAGCGUGGGGAGCGAACAGGAUUAGAUACCCUGGUAGUCCACGCCGUAAACGAUGAGUGCUAAGUGUUAGGGGGUUUCCGCCCCUUAGUGCUGCAGCUAACGCAUUAAGCACUCCGCCUGGGGAGUACGGUCGCAAGACUGAAACUCAAAGGAAUUGACGGGGGCCCGCACAAGCGGUGGAGCAUGUGGUUUAAUUCGAAGCAACGCGAAGAACCUUACCAGGUCUUGACAUCCUCUGACAACCCUAGAGAUAGGGCUUUCCCUUCGGGGACAGAGUGACAGGUGGUGCAUGGUUGUCGUCAGCUCGUGUCGUGAGAUGUUGGGUUAAGUCCCGCAACGAGCGCAACCCUUGAUCUUAGUUGCCAGCAUUCAGUUGGGCACUCUAAGGUGACUGCCGGUGACAAACCGGAGGAAGGUGGGGAUGACGUCAAAUCAUCAUGCCCCUUAUGACCUGGGCUACACACGUGCUACAAUGGACAGAACAAAGGGCUGCAAGACCGCAAGGUUUAGCCAAUCCCAUAAAUCUGUUCUCAGUUCGGAUCGCAGUCUGCAACUCGACUGCGUGAAGCUGGAAUCGCUAGUAAUCGCGGAUCA